AGCGUGUACUAGCGGGCGAGUUGCUGCAAGGGCUACGCUGUCAUAAAAUGGAAAAAAAACAAACGUUGGCAAAACUGUCCGCCGAAAGAGAAGGUGAAACCGCUUCCGCAAACGACGCACAACAGUAGAGAAAGCUGAGCCGGGGAGUAAGGUGCAAAACUUGCUCGGGAGAGUAGGAAUUCGUGAUUCGUGUCAGCCGUAAGGGGCACAGUUGCGAGGCUGGAAGAAGCAUCUAUUCACUCCCAGUUCAUCGCAACUAAAGGAAAUCGCAAAAUAUCGUAAAAUAUCGUACUCGAACAGCACGUGUGUCGGCAGUUCUUAUCACCCGGACCACUCAGUUCUCUCGUAUUAAGUGUCGCUUUCCGGCGGGCACCCGGAUUGCAUGCCAUAUAAACACAGCUCUUGGGCGUAGAGGACAUCCACGCAAGAACCGGAUCGCGAGUCGAUUGAAUAGCCAGAGUAAAGCAAAAGUAACUGAGUAACGGAAAAGCCUGCGGAAGCA